AUUUUUUGGUGAAACAUUUUUCAGCGGGAAUCUUUUAAUCCUCAAGGAUUGAAUGACAGUAAAUAAGAAGAGAAAUAUCCCUGAAAAAAGCACCAUUUUACACAAGAAGAACAUGAUUUUCAUAAUGAACUCAGAGAGGAUGAAUCAAAACAAGGUCAACUCAUCUAAGGUCAACAGUGCUACAUUAAUGGCAUUUUGUCUAAUGGAGAAUACAUAACUCGUGGUGUCUCGUUAUUGUUUUUAAUAUACGUUAAUGACUUUCCCAAUUGCCUAAAGUUUUCAAUUCCUGGUAUGUUUGCAGAUGACACCUAUAUACUUGUACCUGGUAUAAGUGCCAGGCCAGUGACAUU